GGGGAGAUUCCAGAGCGGUCAAAUGGGGCAGACUGUAAAUCUGUUGGCUAAGCCUUCGGAGGUUCGAAUCCUCCUCUCCCCA
rnacentral:tRNA from 3 species